UUCCAUGGUCAUAUCACCCUGCAGCCUAAGACCGGUUACUCACUGAAGCUAAGCAGGGCUGAGCCUGGUCAUUAUCUAGAUGGGCCAGCACAUUGGAAAACUAGGUUGCUGUUGGAA
ensembl:rRNA 5S_rRNA 5S ribosomal RNA